rnacentral:sRNA from 1 species
CGGGCCAGUAUUAAGCAUUACCCCGUGGUGGGGUUCCCGAGCGAUCAUAAGGGAGCUGACUGCAAAUCUGCCGUCAUCGACUUCAAGGUUCGACUCGAGCAAUAGUGAGAGAACGUUGCCGCAGGCAACGGCCCGAAGGGUGAGGAGCUUUAGCUCCGAAUAAUCCUUCC